AUGCAGCUGCAUUUGGAAGACGUUACACAGAUAUGUGGCUUCAACUGCGUUGUGUGGUAUGAGGGAUCAUUAAAGAUCAUGGACAUAAUGAUUGCUUCAUUCUCCUCACUUCCCCUUUACCAACACUUGUAUUCAAGCAGACAGAGAGAAGAACUGUAAAGCUUUGUGGAUUUUUUUUUUUUUUUUAAAGCUAAUUUGUUUCCAGCUGAUAAAAUCUCUAGUCUGUUUUUUUUUUUUUGUGCAUCCACGGGAACACUGUAUAGCAGAAAAGCUCCACACAGAGCACCAGCUUGUGCCAAAUUGAAGCAACGGUGCACCUACAGCUUGAGAACUGUACUGGUGCUUCAGAGAAAAACUACUAUAUAUCAUGAUUUAA
rnacentral:lncRNA from 1 species